UACGUAGGGUGCGAGCGUUGUCCGGAAUUAUUGGGCGUAAAGAGCUCGUAGGCGGUGUGUCGCGUCGGCCGUGAAAACCUGCAGCUUAACUGUGGGCUUGCGGUCGAUACGGGCAUCACUGGAGUUCGGCAGGGGAGACUGGAAUUCCUGGUGUAGCGGUGAAAUGCGCAGAUAUCAGGAAGAACACCAAUGGCGAAAGCAGCUCUCUGGGACG
rnacentral:rRNA from 1 species